CACGGGGGGAGCAAGCGUUGUUCGGAAUCACUGGGCGUAAAGGGCGUGUAGGCGGUCAAGUAAGUGGAAUGUGAAAGCCCCCGGCUUACCCGGGGAUCUGCAUCCCAAACUGCUUGGCUUGAGUACGGGAGAGGAUAGGGGAAUUCCUGGUGUAGCGGUGGAAUGCGCAGAUAUCAGGAGGAACACCGGUGGCGAAGGCGGAUCUCUGGGCCAUAACUGACGCUGAGGAGCGAAAGCAUGGGGAGCGAACAGG
rnacentral:rRNA from 1 species